GAUGAACGCUGGCGGCGUGCCUAAUACAUGCAAGUCGAGCGAACGGACGAGAAGCUUGCUUUUCUGAUGUUAGCGGCGGACGGGUGAGUAACACGUGUAUAACCUACCUAUAAGACUGGGAUAACUUCGGGAAACCGGAGCUAAUACCGUAUAAUAUUUUGAACCGCAUGGUUCAAAAGUGAAAGACGGUCUUGCUGUCACUUAUAGAUGGAUCCGCGCUGCAUUAGCUAGUUGUUAAGGUAACGGCUUACCAAGGCAACGAUGCAUAGCCGACCUGAGAGGGUGAUCGGCGACACGGGAACGGAGACGCGGUCCAGACGCCUACGGGAGGCAGCAGUAGGGAAUCUUCGGCAAUGGGCGAAAGCCUGACGGAGCAACGCCGCGUGAGUGAUGAAGGUCUUCGGAUCGUAAAACUCGGUUAUUAGGGAAGAACAUAUGUGUAAGUAACUGUGCACAUCUUGACGGUACCUAAUCAGAAAGCCACGGCUAACUACGUG
rnacentral:rRNA from 1 species